rnacentral:rRNA from 1 species
UAAGGUAGCAUAAUCAUUUGUCUUUUAAUUGAGGGCUUGUAUGAAUGAUUGGACGAGAAAUUUACUUUCUUUAUUUUAAUUUAUGAAUUUGAUUUUUUAGUUUAAAAAACUUUUAUUUAUUAUUUUUUCAAUUAUUAUUGUUUUUUAUGAUCCUAUUUUAUGGAUUAGAAGAUUAAAUUACCUUAGGGAUAACAGCGUAAUUUUUUUGGAGAGUUCUUAUCGAUAAAAUAAGUUUGCGACCUCGAUGUUGGAUUAAAGUAAUUUUUGGUGUAGGUGCUAAAAUGUUUAAGUCUGUUCGACUUUUAA